CCUGGUUGAUCCUGCCAGUAGUCAUAUUCUUGUCUCAAAGAUUAAGCCAUGCAUGUGUAAGUAUGAACAAAUUCAGACUGUGAAUCUGCGAAUGUCUUAUUAAAUCAGUUAUAGUUUGUUUGAUGGUAUCUACUACUCGGAUAACCGUAGUAAUUCUUGAGCUAAUACAUGAAACAAACCCCGACUUAUGGAAGGGAUGCUUUAUUAGAUAAAAAGUCGACGCGGGCUCUACCCGUUGUUGCAAUGAUUCAUGAUAACUCAACGGAUUGCACGACCAUCAUGCCGGUGAUGCAUCAUUCAAAUUUCUGCCCUAUCAACUUUCGAUGGUAGGAUAGUGGCCUACCAUGGUGGUGACGGGUGAUGGAGAAUUAGGGUUCGAUUUUGGAGAGGGAGCCUGAGAAACGGCUACCACAUCCAAGGAAGGCAGCAGGCGUGCAAAUUACCCAAUCCUGACACGGGGAGGUAGUGACAAUAAAUAACAAUACCGGGCUCAAUGAGUCUGGUAGUUGGAAAGAGUAAAAUCUAAAUCCCUUAACGAGGAUCCAUUAGAGGGCAAGUCUGGUGCCAGCAUCCACGGUAAUUCCAUCUCCAAUAGCGUAUAUUUAAGUUGUUGCAGUUAAAAAGCUCGUAGUUGGACCUUGGGAUAGGCCGGCCGGUCCGCCAAUGGUGUGCACCUGUCGUAUCGUCCCUUCUGUCGGCGAUGCGCUCCUAGCCUUAACUGGUCGGGUCAUGCCUCCGGGGUAGUUACUUUGAAGAAAUUAGAGUGCUCUAAGCAAGCGUACGCUCUGUAUACAUUAGCAUGGGAUAACAUUAUAGGAUUUCGGUCCUAUUAUGUUGGCCUUUGGGAUUGGAGUAAUGAUUAACACGGACAGUCAGGGCAUUUGUAUUUCAUAGUCAAAGGUGAAAUUCUUGGAUUUAUGAAAGACGAACAACUGCGAAAACAUUUUCCAAGGAUGUUUUCAUUAAUCAAGAACGAAAGUUGGGGGCUCGAAGACGAUCAGAUACCGUCCUAGUCUCAACAAUAAACUAUGCCGACCAGGGAUCGGCGGAUGUUGCUUUUAGGACUCCGCCAGCACCUUAUGUGAAAUCAAAGUUUUUGGGUUCUGAGGGGAGUAUGGUCGGAAGGCUGAAACUUAAAGGAAUUGACGGAAGGGCACCACCAGGAGUGGAGCCUGCGGCUUAAUUUGACCUAACACGCGGAAACUUACCGGGUCCAGACAUAGUAAGGAUUGACAGACUGAGAGCUCUUUCUUGAUUCUAUGGGUGGUGGUGCAUGGCCGUUCUUAGUUGGUGGAGCGAUUUGUCUGGUUAAUUCCGUUAACGAACGAGACCUCAGCCUGCUAACUAGCUAUGCGGAGGUAUCCCUUCGCGGCCAGCUUCUUAGAGGGNCUAAUUCCAUUAAAAAAUGAGACCUCAGCAUGCUAACUAGCUAUGCGGAGGUAUCCCUUCGCGGCCAGCUUCUUAGAGGGACUACGGCAUUUUAGGCCGCAGAAGUUUGAGGCAAUAGCAGGUCUAUGAUGUCCAUAGAUGUUCUGGGCCACACGUGCGGUACACUUGUGUAUUCAACGAGUUUAUCGUCUUGGCCGACAGGCCUGGGUAAUCUUUGAAAUUUUAUCCUGAUGGGGAUAGAUCAUUGCAAUUGUUGGUCUUCAACGAGGAAUUCCUAGUAAGCACGAGUCAUCAGCUCGCGUUAACUACGUCUUUGCCCUUUGUACACACUGCUCGUCGCUCCUACCGAUACAAUGAUCUGCUGAAAUGUUCGGAUCGCGGCAACGUGGGCGGUUCACUGCCCGCGACGUCGCAAGAAGUCUAUUGAACCUUAUCAUUUAGAGAAAGGAGAAGUCGUAACAAGGUUUCCAUAGGUGAACUUGUGAAAG
rnacentral:rRNA from 1 species